rnacentral:rRNA from 1 species
GGCGAGGAGAGUGAAAAAGAACCUGAAACCGUGUACGUACAAGAAGUGGGAGCACAGGUUUACCUGUGUGACUGCGUACCUUUUGUAUAAUGGGUCAGCGACUUAUAUUCUGUAGCAAGGUUAACCGUAUAGGGGAGCCGCAGGGAAACCGAGUCUUAACCGGGCGUUAAGUUGCAGGGUAUAGACCCGAAACCCGGUGAUCUAGCCAUGGGCAGGUUGAAGGUUGGGUAACACUAACUGGAGGACCGAACCGACUAAUGUUGAAAAA